CCUACGGGUGGCUGCAGUGGGGAAUAUUGCACAAUGGGGGAAACCCUGAUGCAGCGACGCCGCGUGAGUGAAGAAGUAAUUCGUUAUGUAAAGCUCUAUCAGCAGGGAAGAAAAUGACGGUACCUGAGUCAGAAGCCCCGGCUAACUACGUGCCAGCAGCCGCGGUAAUCCGUAGGGGGCCAGCGUUAUCCGGAUUUACUGGGUGUAAAGGGGGCGUAGACGGCAGUGCAAGGCUGGAGUGAAAGGCGGGGGCUCAACCCCCGGACUGCGCUGGAAACUGUACGGCUGGAGUGCAGGAGAGGUAAGUGGAAUGCGUGGUGUAGCGGUGAAAUGCGUAGAUAUUAGGAGGAACACCAGUGGCGAAGGCGGCUUACUGGACUGUAACUGACGUUGAGGCUCGAAAGCGUGGGGAGCAAACAGGAUUAGAUACCCCUGUAGUC
rnacentral:rRNA from 1 species